UCCUGUUUACAGUGGGCUGGAGCAGUCACAGAAUUGUCAGGGCUACUUUCUGUCUCGGUGUGAUUGGAAAUAAGACUGAAAACGGUACCUUAGCAAGAAGAUGUACAUAAGCCUCUAAAGUUAGGUUUUCAAGAGACAAAAGAAACACAAACAAGAAACAUGGGUACUCACCAUGUUCUUAUAACACCAGCUAAGAGGGUUUUGACGUAUGUUGAGAUCAGAGAGCAAGAUGCAUGCUGCAUCACGGGACCAAGGAUCUUAUGAGGAUAUUUAGUAUCUAUAAUAUACCAUCUGUAUGUGAUUUAAGUCACUCUCAAAGGUGCAACCCUUUUGCUUACUUAUUCUGUGUUUUUUAUUGAAAGGCUGACUUGUAUGUGCAAGCAUCAGUUUGUGGACCCAGUGAUGACUUAAGGACUAUUGCCUAGAGACUUCUAAGGGGUUUUUGCAGUUUGUACAGAUUUGUACAGAUGCCCUUUAUCCUUCAUAGUCUUCUACAUCCAACUAGAACUGCUUAUAUUUUUAGUUCCAGAAGUUUCUGCUUUGAUCAUGAUGGUGACUGUGCAUCCAUCACCAUCAUGCAUAGUGGGUGUGUAAUAUUUAAAGGGACUAAACUUUGACAAUACUGUUUCCUUAGGUCUCACAACGCUGUAUGUAAAAUAAAGGAGUAUGAACUAUUCAGUACCUUACUUAUAUACCAAAUUAUUCAUUGCACUUACUUAUAUGAUCUGGUAUAUUGGAAUUUUUUUUGACACACUGAUAAGUACAUAUUUUGUAGAAAUUUUACAAAAUGGGAUCAAAAGUUGUAUUUGUGUCUCCCUUCCUUUUUUUUGUUCUUUGAAAGGAAAGUAUACAUAUAUAUAUAUGUGUAUCUGCAAAGUAUUUGGGACUGAAAAGUAUAGAAUUGUUUUCUUAAAUAUUUUCUGCUUUCUGCAUUGAGAGAUCCUUAGGUUACUGAAAUCUCUUCAGCAUUUUUUCUAAACUCCUCUUCAAAAAUGAAGAGACACAAGACUUUGCAUUUUGGGUCUGUUAAUUCAAACAAGAAAUCAUGCCAAUGGAAACUAAUUCAAGAAAAAAACUUGGUGCUCAGAACAUAAAUGGGACUUAGAAAUGCAGCUCCUAGAAUUUCCAGCCUGGUUCAGUUAGACUAUCAUAAUAAAAUGGAGUGACUAUAAUUGCUACCUAGUUAUAACUGUGUAUUUUCAUUAAUUACCUUUUCUCACAGACAUGUAAGCUUACACAUUUGUGCAUUAAGAUUCAGGCCAUGUUUUUUAUUAUUCUUUUUCAAACCUUGGUAUCCUUGUGUGUAUUUGCUCAAAAGAGAAGCCAAGACAAACCAUUUACUUUCUCUGCAUUUACCAAAAUUUAUUAAAUUAGUGGUGCAAAGAGCACUUACUUCACACCUGCACAUCAGACCCACUGCAAAUAAUAUUCUAGUACCAUUCCUGCUACUCCUUCUUGCCUCAUAUAUUAAUUUUAAAUAUCUUCUUCUGGUUCCUCUGUAUGUGAAACUGUUUAAAAUAAAGA